UCUUAAUGGGCGCAGCCUGAUGCAGCCAUGCCGCGUGUAUGAAGAAGGCCUUCGGGUUGUAAAGUACUUUCAGCGGGGAGGAAGGGAGUAAAGUUAAUACCUUUGCUCAUUGACGUUACCCGCAGAAGAAGCACCGGCUAACUCCGUG
rnacentral:rRNA from 1 species